GUGUAAUCUAUGUUAUUAUUGUUAUUAUUAUUGUAUAUAAUAUUCAGUAUAUAUCGUUAUUAAAUCUAGUUUUAAGAAAAAGUCAGUCAGAACGAAACAUAUUUAUAGUUUAAGUUUUACCCAAAGAUUAGGGAGAGAAAGAUAGGAAACGAAGCGACCAAGACGACGCCAGCGACGUCUGGUGUUUCAGUUGUAAACAAAAUUGGUUGUUUUUGACGUUUUUGUCAAAAAAGGUUAGAAUCACAUUUCUGAAGUCUAAACAUCUUUUGGGUUAAAAAUCUUUGUUUGUAAACGUGCUGUGUAUCUCUAGUCUUUGGGUGCUGUCUUGUGGCAUAUUACAAAGACGUUAUAGUAUUGUUGUGGUUAUUAAGCUCACGUGUUAUUGAACUGUUCAUCAAAGAUUAAUAUUAAUUUGCUGUUCUUGUCAAGAUGAGUCGUGGUUCAUAUUGUUUGGUAUUAACCUGUCCGAACAAUAAAAAUAAAAACCCAAAGCUCGCGUUUUUUACAUUACCGAAGGACAUGAAAAUGUAAGUUUAAGUAGUCAAUUCAAUAUUACAAAAUCAUCUAAUUUCUAUUAUUAUUCAGUGCCAAAAGAUGGAUCGAAUUCUCUGGACGCAAAGAUCUUGGCCUGGGUGCUUCGAAAGACUAUAGAAUGUGUAGUGAGCAUUUUAUAGAAAACCAGUUCAAAUUCACGGACAUUGCUUUGGCGUGGAAGUAUUCCUCAUGUGAAUGGACCUAAAUCAGAUGUUCUUCCUGAAUCAGAGUCUGAGAUGAUCAUCCAUGAAGAAACUGUUCAAAUGGAUCAAAACGUACCUCUAUCUAAUAUUGAAAGAUUCUGCGUUUGCUGUCAACUCAAAUGAAAAUUUUUCAAAAGAGGACACAUGAAUGCAAAUCAUAUUUAUGUUACACUGGAAUCAGAAGGUUUUAUAGAAGCAGCUAGUAGUUCGGCUAACCCCAAACGUAGUGGUAGUAAGCAGAGCCCCUUAACCAACCAGAGAAUUAAAAGAGUGAAGGCUAAAAUCAAUACAAAAAAUCAAAAACUCCGAAAUCUCUGCAAUGAAUAAUGAUUCACAUUUAAGAUAUUUU